GACGGAGGGUGCGAGCGUUAUUCGGAAUCAUUGGGCGUAAAGAGCGUGUAGGCGGCCGGUUAAGUCAGGUGUGAAAGCCCGGGGCUCAACCCCGGAAGGGCACUUGAUACUGGUCGGCUUGAGUUCGGGAGAGGGAAGCGGAAUUCCUGGUGUAGAGGUGAAAUUCGUAGAUAUCAGGAGGAACACCGGUGGCGAAGGCGGCUUCCUGGACCGAAACUGACGAUGAGACGCGAAAGAGUGGGGAGCAAACAGG
rnacentral:rRNA from 1 species